GUUUACGGCCAUACCACCCUGCACACACCCAAUCUCGUCAGAUCUCAGAUGCUAAGCAGAGUCAGGCCUGGUUAGUACUUGGAUGGGAAAGUACCAUUUAUGAAUUUAAAAAACAAUCU
rnacentral:rRNA from 1 species